rnacentral:rRNA from 1 species
AUCAACGCUGGCGGCGUGCCUAACACAUGCAAGUCGAACGAGAAAGUGGAGCAAUCCAUGAGUAAGUGGCGACCGGGUGAGUAACACGUGACUAACCUACCUCCGAGUGGGGAAUAACUCCGGGAACCGGGGCUAAUACCGCAUAACAUCGCAAGAUCAAGCAGCCAAUGCGCUUGAGAGGGGGGUCGCGGCUGAUUAGCUAGUUGGUGAGGGUAACGGCCCACCAAGGCGAAGAUCGGUAUCCGGCCUGAGAGGGCGCACGGACACACUGGAACUGAAACACGGUCCAGACUCCUAAGGGAGGCAGCAGUGGGGAAUUUUGCGCAAUGGGGGAAACCCUGACGCAGCGACGCCGCGUGGAGGAUGAAGCCCUUUGGGGCGUAAACUCCUUUCGACCGGGACGAUUAUGACGGUACCGGUGGAAGAAGCACCGGCUAACUCUGUGCCAGCAGCCGCGGUAAUACAGAGGGGUGCAAGCGUUGUUCGGAAUUAUUGGGCGUAAAGGCGCGUAGGCGGUGCGGCAAGUCACCUGUGAAAUCUCCUGGCUUAACUGGGAGCCUGCAGGCGAAACUGCCGUGCUGGAGUGUGGGAGAGGUGCGUGGAGUUCCCGGUUGUAGCGGUGAAAUGCGUAGAUAUCGGGAGGAACACCUGUGGCGAAAGCGGCGCACUGGACCAUAACUGACGCUGAGGCGCGAAAGCUAGGGGAGCAAACAGGAUUAGAUACCCUGGUAGUCCUAGCCCUAAACGAUGAUUGCUUGGUGUAGCAGGUACCCAAUCCUGCUGUGCCGCAGCUAACGCGAUAAGCAAUCCGCCUGGGGAGUACGGUCGCAAGGGCUGAAACUCAAAGGAAUUGACGGGGGCCCGCACAAGCGGUGGAGCAUGUGGUUCAAUUCGACGCAACGCGAAGAACCUUACCUGGGCUCGAAGCGCAGUGGACCGGGGUGGAAACAUCCCUUUCUCGCAAGAGACUGCUGCGGAGGUGCUGCAUGGCUGUCGUCAGCUCGUGUCGUGAGAUGUUGGGUUAAGUCCCGCAACGAGCGCAACCCUUAUCCCUAGUUGCCAUCUGGGUCAAGCCGGGCACUCUAGUGAAACUGCCUCGGAUAACGAGGAGGAAGGUGGGGAUGACGUCAAGUCCUCAUGGCCUUUAUGUCCAGGCCACACACGUGCUACAAUGGUCGGUACAAACCGUCCGCAAACCCGUGAGGGGGAGCUAAUCGGAAAAAGCCGGCCUCAGUUCGGAUUGGAGUCUGCAACUCGACUCCAUGAAGCUGGAAUCGCUAGUAAUCGCGGAUCAGAACGCCGCGGUGAAUACGUUCCCGGGCCUUGUACACACCGCCCGUCACAUCACGAAAGUGGGCCGUACUAGAAGCAGGUGUGCUAACCGCAAGGAGGCAGCCUUCCAAGGUACAGCUCAUGAUUGGGGUG